rnacentral:rRNA from 1 species
ACCUACGGGGCGCGGCAGUAGGGAAUUUUCGUCAAUGGGCGCAAGCCUGAACGAGCAAUGCCGCGUGAACGAGGAAGGUCUUCGGAUCGUAAAGUUCUGUUGAAGGGGAAAAAGAGCGGAGAGAGGAAAUGGUCUCCGAUUGAUAUUACCCUUCGAGGAAGUCACGGCUAACUACGUGCCAGCAGCCGCGGUAAUACGUAGGUGGCGAGCGUUAUCCGGAAUGAUUGGGCGUAAAGGGUGCGUAGGCGGCCUGCUAAGUCUGGAGGGAAAGGUACCGGCUCAACCGGUACAGGCUCUGGAAACUG